rnacentral:rRNA from 1 species
NUUGACCUCAACUCAGUCGUGACUACCCGCUGAAUUUAAGCAUAUAACUAAGCGGAGGAAAAGAAACUAACGAGGAUUUCCCGAGUAACAGCGAGUGAAAAGGAAAGAGCCCAGCGCUGAAUCCAG